UAAAACCAGCACCUCAAGUGGUCAGGAGGAUUAUUGGGCCUAAAGCACCCGUAGCCUGCUCUGUAAGUUUCCGGUUAAAUCCAUUAGCUCAACUAAUGGCCUGCCGGAAAUACUGCAGAGCUAGGAAGUGGGAGUGGUAGACGGUACUCGGUAGGAAGGGGUAAAAUCCUUUGAUCUAUUGAUGACCACCUGUGGCGAAGGCGGUCUACCAGAACACGUUAGACGGUGAGGGAUGAAAGCUGGGGGAGCAAACCGGAUUAGAUACCCGGGUAGUCCCAGCUGUAAACGAUGCAGACUCGGUGAUGCGCUGGCUUGUGGCCAGUGCAGUGCCGCAGGGAAGCCGUUAAGUUUGCCGCCUGGGAAGUACGUACGCAAGUAUG
rnacentral:rRNA from 2 species